UACGUAGGGGGCAAGCGUUAUCCGGAAUCACUGGGCGUAAAGGGAGCGUAGGCGGUUUGACAAGCCAGCGGUGAAAGGCAAUAGCUUAACUAUUGUAAGCCAUUGGAACUGUCGAACUUGAGUGUAGGAGAGGAAAGUGGAAUUCCUAGUGUAGCGGUGAAAUGCGUAGAUAUUAGGAGGAACACCAGUGGCGAAGGCGACUUUCUGGACUAUAACUGACGCUGAGGCUCGAAAGCGUGGGGAGCAAACA
rnacentral:rRNA from 1 species